UCCCUCUGUUCAAUGCCUCUCGCCUAUGGGCUCCAUACUAGAUUGAAACUAUUUUUUCGGACGUCAGCAAGCAUCAGCAUGCCCUAAAAUUUCCAAGGCUGUCACCGUAUUUAUUGUAGCGGGGAAAGUUAUUUUAAGGAAACUGCUUGCUAUUUCUACUUAAAGCUUAAAAUUUGUUCUUGACCCAAACAAUGCAACCC
rnacentral:lncRNA from 1 species